rnacentral:rRNA from 1 species
UUUAUUGGAGAGUUUGAUCCUGGCUCAGGAUGAACGCUGGCGGCGUGCCUAAUACAUGCAAGUCGAGCGGAUGGAUUAAGAGCUUGCUCUUAUGAAGUUAGCGGCGGACGGGUGAGUAACACGUGGGUAACCUGCCCAUAAGACUGGGAUAACUCCGGGAAACCGGGGCUAAUACCGGAUAACAUUUUGAACCGCAUGGUUCGAAAUUGAAAGGCGGCUUCGGCUGUCACUUAUGGAUGGACCCGCGUCGCAUUAGCUAGUUGGUGAGGUAACGGCUCACCAAGGCAACGAUGCGUAGCCGACCUGAGAGGGUGAUCGGC